rnacentral:piRNA from 1 species
UGACCUGGCGCCGAGUCUUGCUGGAAGGA